rnacentral:lncRNA from 1 species
CCCAGGAUAACCUUGACUCGUCCUUCCUCCUGCCUCCAUUCCAGAACGCUGGAAUAACAGGUCAGCUGCGGGAGCCUGUGGCAGAAGGAAAUCUGGAUGGGCCUCCAACCUUCUCAAAAAGUAGCUACUGAGUUUUGGCUCCUGUUCCAUAGCUGAGUUCCAAGGAUGGCCAAGGGGACAGAAGACCUUAUCUGAGGUUAAAAACCACCACUCAGAGAACACAGCAGUUUACACCAAGACUUCCAACUGGCCAAAGUAAGGAGAACGGGUUAUCUGUGGGGUGCUCAGCCAUAAGUAGAACAGUUAUGCCACACACAUCCCACCCAUGCCAAGGCUCAGGGACCAUUGUGGAAGAGUGGACAGAAAGACUGGAAGAGCCAGAGGUCACCAGGGAGGACUGGGGCAAAACAACCUCUCUAGACACGGCAGGAUAGCUGUACUCAUGAGCUCACAGAGCUGUGGUUGCUACACAGGAACAAACCAGUCAGCAUUCCUGUUGGCACAGAUGAGGCAUGCGCAUACCAGUGUCCUCACUCCUAGCUGAAGAGCUAUGGACAGUUAAUGGCUGCUGGGGUAGGAAGAGUCAGCUUUCUUUUAGGGUAAGCUACCCCUGCUCCAGUGGAUGCCCCACCCCACACCCCUGCACACAUAGGUAGCACUAAUUGGACUCAGUAAGCUAUCAUUUUUUAAAGGACAUGAAGUUAGGAAGGGAAUGUGUGUGUGUGUGUGUGUGUGUGUGUGUGUGUGUGUGUGUGUGUGUGUGUAGGGGGAAUCCACGAGGAGUCAGAGGGGGAAGAAGAGGUGAAUAUGAUUAAAAUAUACUGUAUGCAUGCAUGAAAUCCUCAAAGAUAAAUAAAAAAUAUUUUUCCCAAACACUGAUCAAGACUGUAGGCCAUUGGCACUGAAAUUGGCAGACCUCUUGCAAAUCCAGGGGCUUACAAUAGCUUUUCAAUAUUGUCCUUUUGUGCACCAUCUUAGGUUUCUGUUGCUAUGACAAAACAGGACCAAAAGCAGCUUGAGGAGAAAACGGUCUGUUUCAGUUUACACUUCCAUAUCACAGCCAUCAGCACAGGAAGUCAAGGCAGGACAUCAAAGCAGGAACCAGGAGGCAGGAGCUGAUGUGGAGGCUGAGGAGAAGUGCUGCUUACUGCCUUGCUCAGUCUGCUUUCUUACACAAGCUGUGGUUGGUGGUGGUGGGGUCAUGGCAUCAUCCACAUCCAUAUCAAUAAUUAAUCAAGAAAACAUUGUUUAGACUUGCCCACAGGCCAAUCUUUUAGAGACAUUUUCUCAAUGGACAGUCUCUCUUCCCAAAUGACUCCAGCUUGUACUAAGUUGACAAAAUGCUAGCCAGCACAUCGGUUGACUAGGCUCAGUUGGAUAUUUUUCUCCAUGGGGUUGUGAUCGGUUGGCACUAGAGUUCGAAAGCUUGGCUACCUGAUUCCUCCAUGUAAGUCCCUUGUGCCUCUGAUUGAGUAGCUGAGAGGCUUAGAGACCAGGGGAGUAGCUCUUUCUCCGUGUUACCUUGUAUGGACUUCUUCCAUCCACACUGGAAUGUUGACUGUCUUAAUUUUAUGCAGGUCUUGUGCAGGCAUCAUGGUAGGCUUAGGGCUAGGCAAGUAGACUUCUCAACUUGGGGCCCAACUUCCUCCAGAGUCUGUGAUCCAAAAUAGUUUUCUGUGACUUAGCUUUGGAAGUCCAAAGUAUCUAGUUUCCAGAAUCAAGUUGCUAGUGGGUAAAGGGAAGCUUGCCUGAAGACUUUGUUUUGCUUUGUUUGAGACAGGGUCUCACUGUGUAACCCAGGCUGGCCUCAAACUUCCAAUCCUAUUACCUCAGAUUUCAAGUGCAGGAAAUCUGCGCAAUACAGAUUUACACACAAGCGUAUGUGUGUGUCACCAUACCGGGUGUAAAGAUCUUUCUAUGAAAAGCUGGGCAUGGUAGCACAUGCUUGUAACCCCUGUGCUGGAGAGGCAGGGCAGGCUUUUCUAGCUAGUAUAGGAGCUUAAGAUCAGAGAGCAACCCAGCCUCCAAAAAGAAAGGUGAAUGGCUCCUGAGGAAAACACCAAAGGUCACUUCUGGCCUUCAUCUGUAUUCUGCAGUCCCACAUACAUACACUCCCCCAGGUAUAUAUACAUGCUCCAGUAGUUUUAAUUGUCAACCUGAACCAAUCUAGAAUGCCCGGGAAGUCACAAUGAGGGGCUGUCUAGAUCAGGCUGGCCUGUGGAUGUGUCUGUGAAAGAUUGUCUUGAUUACACUAAUUGAGGUGGGAAGACCCAGCCACUGUGGGUGUCGCCAUUCCCCAGGCAAGAUAUCGUUAACUAUUUAAGAGUGAAAAAAGUGAGCUGAGUGCAUGUAUGUUUUCAUUUCUCUCUGCUUUUGUCUGUAUGUAAUAUGACUAGCUGCUUCAAAUACUUGUUCCUUGAUGGCCCCACAAUUAUGGAUUAUAACCUGGAAUUAUAAGCCAAAUAAACAUGUGUCCCCUCUAUGUUGCUUUUGUCAGGGUAUUUAUCAUAGCAACAGGAAGCAAAACUCUCUCUCUCUUUCUUCCUCUGACACACACACACACACACACACACACACACACACACACACACACACACACACAAUAUUUCUUUUAUGGAGUAUACAAGACAGGGGUUAGGACGCACUACCCUCCCAGGACAGCAGACACAAAUCCCUCUGCCUUGAGCCAUGCUUCCUAACACAUCUACCGAGGUUCCCAUACAAGCCCGCUUUCCUGUCCCAGCUGAGAUAAUCACAGCUGGCUUCCCAUUUCCAACAACUGCACCAUAGGCAAGCCCCAAAGUCAGACCACAGGCGAGCAGGGCUUGGUCUGAUCUUCCAUGCAGGACCUGUGCCUGGAGACUUCUGGCUUCCUGAAAUUGUCCACACUCAGACUCUCAAUGGUAUGCUUCAGACAUGGUUCUCUUUUCCUCCUCCUCCUUCUGUGUGGGUGCACAUGUAUGUGUCCAUACAUGUAGGACCUAGAGGCAAUCUUAGGCGCCUCAGAGUCAUCUCUCACUAAACCUGUAGCUCACUGACUAGUCUAGGCUAUUUGACCACAAGGGCUCAGGGUUAGCCCUAAUUCGGCCUUCUCAGUUCUGGGAUUACAAUCAUGUAUCACUGUGUUCUGUGUGUGUGUGUGUGUGUGUGUGUGUGUGUGUGUGUGUGUGUGUGUGUGUGUGUGUGAUAGACACAUGAGGACAAAUGUAUACCACACCAUGUGCUGGUGUAUACAUGUGUGGCAGCUAUAAGUUGACAUUGGAAGUCCUUCUCCAUUGCUCUCCACUGUGUGUGUGUGUGUGUGUGUGUGUGUGUAUUUGUGCAGUGGGAUAGGAAACAUGCCACUGCUCAUGUGUGAAGGUCAGAGGACAUCUUGUUGGAUUCAGUUCUUUUCUUCUACCAUGUUGGGUCCUGUGGAUCAAACUCAGGUUGUCAGGCUUGGUGGCAAGCACCUUUACCUACUGAGCCAUCUUACCAGCCUCCACCUUACUUUUUGAGCCAGAGUGUCUUACUGACCUGGAGGUCUCUGACUGACUAGACUGUCUGGCCAGAGCACUGGGAGCCGUGCUUAACCUUUUUUUACAUUGGUGUUGGGGAUGGACUCAGUGCUUGGCAAGCCCUUUACUAACUGAGCUAUCUCCCCAGACCCAGACACUAUGCUUUUUUUUUCUAGUCCUGUGAAGGGCCAGCUGGACCCAAAUGGUUUCUUUUGCCCUAGCUGCCCUGCUGUCCCGGGCUUUCAGGGACUCUCCCAGACAGCCAAGCACAGCCAUCACUUGGCAAAUCAGCUUCCAGGGAAUUGUUAGAUGCCCCAGAAGCCCCUCUGUGACCAUCAUCCGGGUGGCCCUCCCUGCUUGUUGAGGCCUGGGACCCCUUUCACCCGGGAGAUGGUCUUGCAUGGGUGAGAGGCAUGGGUGAGCCAAGAACCCCAGAGAGCUGUCCUCUGUGUGAAUCUGGCUGCUGGUGCCAGGAAGAGGCUGUGCCCAUCUGGUUAACACUAAAGGGAGACCCCAAGUGGGGAACCCUGAGCACAGAUGUCCAGUGAUCCCCUCCUCUCCCUCCUACUAGCGGAGGGAGAAUGUUCUGGAAGGACAACUGAGAGAAGCAAAUGAGAGGGUGGGAGUGAGGGAGAGGGUCCCACGGCCCCAUGAAAGCCGCUGCCACUUUAUCUCAGGAAAGGACUCCAGGGAGUCCUUGAACUCGAUGUCAUUUUUGUCGUGCACAAGGAGAGGCGCAGGCGAGCGUGUGCGAGGAAAGAGAAAUGCCGAAAACACAGUUAGGCUCUGUUAAUAUUUGAUAGGCAGCCAAAGCACUUUUGUUCCCUAGCUCAGCGAGCUACCCAUGAAAAAAAUAAAUUGCUUUUCAAGAACAUUCAUCACUGUGAGCAGCUCAUUUCCUUGUCCUCAGAAAACCCUAUUCCUAGGCCCUUCCUCCCAUCAAAAACUCCUCAGAUGUGGUCAAGUAAAGAAAGCCAGGGAGGGCGGGGUGGGGGGAGUACUUCAGCGAAGGUGGUAGUUGGAGGAGGUGUUAGGCAGAGUGUUCUGGAAUGCUCUGGAACACUCUAGAAAUUCUCAAACAUUCUAGAAGAGUCUUGAACAUUCUCCAUUCUUCUUGUAAUGGGGCCCCGCCUAGAUUCUCUCCCCUGAGUGGCAGGUCUUAGGGGUAUGAUCAUUAGUAUGAUCAUGGCACUCACAAGCAGAUGCUCUGACUCUCAUGAACCUGUUUUUCUAGCAUCCCAGUUCACUCUGUUGGAGAGACCACCCUCUGCAUGGCAUCCUUCUCUGACCUGCUAUGCCCUGGCACCCUGCAGGUUUCUCUAUGGAUUUUCUACGUACUCACUCAAACAUGUUACUAUACAUGCAUUUGCUUACGGCCUCCUCUCCAAGUAGAGAACCAGAUCCCUUAGCCAGGAUAAGGACUUGCUACCCUGUUCACCGGGUUCCUUUAGCUCACAGUAGGUGCGAUGGAGGAAUAACAAGCCAGUCUCAAAUGUGAUACUUACAGAUUUAGUUGCCACUAAAUCUCCAAUCCAGGAUGCCCUGUUUCUGAAAUUCAUUCUCUCACUCUCCCCCCACUACCCCUCUCUCUUCAGCAUCUAAUUCCCUGACUAGUCAUCUGGCAGAGGGAACUUUCAUAUCAACGCCUAUUGUGCUAUGAGCCCCGUGGGAAGGGGUCAGCCAACAAGUUUGAGGGGUAUCUCAUUCAGGAGCAGGGCACUGAACUUGGGCUUCACUGUGUAACCUUCAGGAGGCCAUGCUACCUCCCUGGCUUCCAAAGUCCUUUAAGACCAGGUCACAUCACAGCCCUUCAGUAGAAUACAGAAGAUGUGGACAACACGCUCACUGGGAAACUAGCAAUUCAAGAGGUAGUGACCACUUUUAACUUCAUCAAUUAGUUAACUGAUCGUGUGUGUGUGUGUGUGUGUGUGUGUGUGUGUGUGUGUGUGUGUGUGUGUGUACACAUGCGGGUGUAGCUCGGAGGACAACAUUUUGGGUAGGGAACUCCUCACCUUCCCCCUCAUUCUGGCACUGCACUUCGUGCUCCAGUCUGGCUAGCCUGUUAGCUUCUCACCCGUUCUCUGGUCUCCAUCUUCCUUCUUGUCAUUGGAGUGCUGAGAUUAUAGACAUGCUCCACUGCUCCCCAACCUGCUGUUUAAACGUGGCUGCUAGGAUCAGACUCUGGUUGUCAAGCUUGCACAGCAAAGCUAAUGUCCUCCAGUUACAGAUAAAGAAGUUAUAGGUGAAAUCUUAAAGGGCUUGUGGUAGAAGUGGCAUGUGAGUCUUUCUUAGCGCUGCGUCACUGGAGCAACAACCUGGGGGUGUGUGGGAAAUUCUUAGGGAUUAGAUGAAUGUCAAAAGCCACCCUGUCUUGAGGAUCAGCAACUCAGCUAGAUCAGGGAGGUGUUCCAGGUGUGAUGGCUAAUACUGAUUGUCAACUCAACAGGAUCCAGAAUCCCCAGGAAACAGCCUCUGGGCACAUCUGUGAGGGAGUGUCUAGACAACUAAGGUGGGAAGUCUCACCCUGAAUGUGGGGAUGUGAGCAGCACCAUCCCAUGGGCUGGGUCCUGGACUGAAAGCUGUUGGAGCACCAGGUUCCUGAUGGUGGAUGCAAUGUUCCAGCCGUAUCAUGCUCCUGCUGCCAUGCCUUCCUCAUCAUGAAGGGCUAUGCCCUCAAACUGUGGGCCAAAGUCAACUCUCCUUCAGUUGUCAUUUACUAGGCAUGCCACCACAGCAUGGAGAAAAAUAGCUAACACACCAUGGCAUUCUCCUGCUCUUUAAAGUUGAAUGGAACUCUAGAAGGCCAUAGGAACAAAGCCUAACCAAGAUGGCCUCUAGAAUGAGGUCUGUCAGUCACUUUGUGACUCAGUAAGAUGGUCACCACUGAUAUUGGCACUCAUAUUCUCUCUGCAUAGCAUUUUUCUUAUUUAAUUUUUGUUUAUAAUCAUAGACUUAAUUCUACAAUGCAGCCAGACUUAGAGGAAACAAGGAAAACAUGAAAUCCCCAAAACUGCAGAUUAAAACUUGUGGGAUAUUAAGAGAGACUAGGCCUCUCCUGAGUACAGAAGCAUGGGACUGCUGGUUAGGAAGCACACGUCGAUGCGGUCCAAUUGUCCAUAGUCGGCAGUGGUGAUCUUGUGGUCUUGAGGUGCCUGGACCUGAGUGAGGCACUCCAUAGGUUCCACAACACCCACUUCAUCUUUCAUCUUCCAAAAGACUGCAUGCUUGUCAGACCACCCAGGCUUGGCAGUGCUGAUGAAACAGUGGGAACCAUCUGUGCUUGGUCUAGCUUUUUCCAUGGACAAGAUACCAGGACCUGUAUGCUCAGGAUGAAGUUCUCGCCCUCAGGUUUCUCCCCAAAUAUAGACUUGCCACCAGUGUUAAUUAAAAAUUGUAUUAUAUUUAUUUGUUUUGUAGGUGGAAGGGACACAUGCCACAGCCCAUGCAUGCAGGCCAGAGGACAGUUGAUUGAAGUUGGUUCUCUCCUUCCACCAUGUGGGCCCUGGGGAUUAAACUCAGGUCAUCAGGCUUGGUGGUACAUGACUUUAGCUGCUGGCUUUGAGGCCUGGUUCUUGGACAGUCCUGACUUUCCUCCUUCUCUCCUCAGUGGCUGGGACACCACCAUAAUUGUUCUGCUGGGUUAACCAUUGAACCAUGAGAAUCUUACAAUUCAGAGUCCUUUCCAGAGGGACAGAGUCCUUCAUGGUGGAGAAGACAUCUCAACAGGCAGAGAGGGUAUGGCAGCAGGAACAGAAAGCUGUUAGUUCACGUUUGUCACACUCAGGAAGGAAGAGGGAACAGGAUGUGGAACAAAGCUACAAAGCCUCAAAUCCCACUUCCUGUGAUGUACUUCCUCCAGCCAGGCUCCGCCUCCUCAGGAUUCUUCCCUCUCCCUGACAGCACCACCAGCUGGGGACUAAGUGUUCAAACAAAUGAGUCUCUGGAAGAAUUUUAUAUUCAAACCACAGCCAGGGUAAUGGAGAUAAAGAAGAAUGUGUCCUGACCAUGAAAGGGUUAUGUCAAGAAGGAGACAGCAAUCAUAAGCCUGUAUGCCCCUACUAACAUAGACCCUCAAUAAUUAAAGCAGAAAAUAAUUGAAGGGAUACAAGAGAAAAUGUGUAAUCAUGGCUGGAUAUUUGAAUAUCUUUCAGCAAUGAAUAGAAAAAGUCACAUUUAAAA